AAAGAAACUAACAAGGAUUCCCUAGUAACGGCGAGUGAAGCGGGAAAAGCUCAAAUUUGUAAUCUGGCGCCUUCGGCGUCCGAGUUGUAAUCUCGAGAAGUAUUUUCCGCGCUGGACCGCACAUAAGUCUGUUGGAAUACAGCGUCAUAGUGGUGAGAACCCCGUAUAGGGUGCGGAUGCCCAGUGCUUUGUGAUAUACUUUCGAAGAGUCGAGUUGUUUGGGAAUGCAGCUCAAAUGGGGUGGUAAAUUCCAUCUAAAGCUAAAUAUUGGCGAGAGACCGAUAGCGAACAAGUACCGUGAGGGAAAGAUGAAAAGCACUUUGGAAAGAGAGUUAACAGUACGUGAAAUUGUUGGAAGGGAAACGCUUGAAGUCAGACUUGCAUUUUGGAGUUCAGCCGCAAGGUGUAUUCUUCAAUUCGCAGGCCAGCAUCAGUUUCUGGGGGUGGAAAAGCGCGGCUGGAAGGUGGCAGUCUCGGCUGUGUUAUAGCUGGCCGCUGGAUGCUGAUUCACUUUUGGGGACUGAGGAACGCAGUACGCUUUUGCCARGACCCUCGGGUCUUUCGUACUUAGGAUGCUGGUGGAAUGGCUUUAAACGACCCGUCUUGAAACACGGACCAAGGAGUCUAACAUGCUUGCGAGUGUUUGGGUGUUAAACCSGGACGCGUAAUGAAAGUGAAUGGAGGUGGGAUCCGCAAGGUGCACCAUCGACCGAUCUGGAUUUUCUAAGAUGGAUUUGAGUAAGAGCAAUUAUGUUGGGACCCGAAAGAUGGUGAACUAUGCCUGAAUAGGGUGAAGCCAGAGGAAACUCUGGUGGAGGCUCGUAGCGGUUCUGACGUGCAAAUCGAUCGUCAAAUUUGGGUAUAGGGGCGAAAGACUAAUCGAACCAUCUAAUGUUGCUUGGUGGUUAAUAGGGACUUCAAAGUAGAGCCCUAGUGGGAGUGGUAACCUGCGACACUUUCAAAUUGCGGGGACGCCCUUAGAGCUCUAAUUACGGCGGCUCAUCGAAAGAUAGAGUGCAGCAGCAGGUUAAUGGCCUCGCGGAUCGUAAAAACAUUAGAGAUUGGGUAAUCCGCAGCCAAGUCCUAAAGGGUACCUUUCAGCUACCCCAUGGAUGCAGUUCAUCGACUAAAUGGAAGUGGGUGCCCUUCCUUAACCGGAAGGGUGCUUGAGAUAUAGUCAGCCCCUCGUGAGAGCGAGCUAAUGGGACUAAGAGUCGGUUCGUUUUUACCACUUGCAAACGACGAUUCCCGAGCCCAUUGGGGUCUAUUAAGUCAGUAACUUUUAAGACCGGAUUACGUGCUAGUAGCUGGUUCCUGCCGAAGUUUCCCUCAGGAUAGCAGAAACUCACAUCAGUUCUAUGAGGUAAAGCGAAUGAUUAGAGGCCUUGGGGUUGAAACAACCUUAACCUAUUCUCAAACUUUAAAUAUGUAGGAAGUCCUUGCUACUUGAUGAG
rnacentral:rRNA from 1 species